CCCCUAAAACUGUAGGAGGAGUAGUGUUUAGAAAAUGAGGGGGCGAACAGAAUGUGUUACCCUGAGAUAGCAUGAAGCUAAACCUUCCCACACUCCAAUAGAGAGGCUGAGGAAUUUUCUGGAUAAUUAGGGCAUGAGGAGAAACUGAAAUACUCAAUUUCAGAGCAAAACCAUGCCUGGUGAAAAAUUUCGCUAAUCACUAGUAAUGUUUCUUUUUGUCCCUAUAGAAAGAAUCAACAAUCAACAUGUGGCGUUUAAUCUGUGUGUGUUUCCCUGGUUUAUGCAGGGGAUGGCAUCGUAUUGAAUGCCAAGAAGUGGCCAUAAAAAUAAUAACGAACAGACAGAAGCAAACCACUGAAUCGGGAACAAGAUACUGAAGUUGAUGACAUCGACAUGCACCAUCUGCAGAUAACCAGCUGGUGGAGACUAAGAAACCACCGAACUGGCUAAAGGAAUGCUUCUGUGGCAGGAUACGAACAGAUCCCAGCAAUAUGGAACUAGGGUCGUCAUUGGGGGUGGGACGGGGGCACAACUUUAGGGUCCCUAGCUGUUAUAUGUCUGCUGGGCCCCAUUAGAAAUGUUGGUUCCAAUGACAGCCCUCCAUGGAACACCCAUGAAUAAAUCCAGGGGUGGAUUUUCAUUAAGGCUUGGGGAGGCUAAACCUAGUUUGGUCUUUGUCCAUGUUGAGUAUGAUAUUACUCAGUACUUAACCAUUACAGUCUCUGGGCCCAUAAGUUGGUAGCUCUUAUGUAAGCCCAUGUAUGGGACACAUUUCAGCCUGGUAAUGCUGGAGUGCAUUCUUAGACAUAAAUCCACCCGUGGGCCCAGUAAUAGAUGAAUUACAACUGUUGCCAAUGGUGCAUCAAAUGGGACUGAAACAGCUGUUUCUCCACUAGUGGAAAAUUAUUGGUGAAUAAACUGUUCAGGUGACAUUAGACUUCCCAAAAUAAAAAAUCACCCUCCGUCUAUGAACAAAUUCAUCCUUUUCUCUGAUGAUUCAAAUGUUUUCCUCUUGAUGAACAACAGUCUAUAAAGACUCAGAGACAAAGGAAAGAAAUACAGAAUUCAAAAGAGAACUUGAAGCUGUAUGUGAGUACAUCUGAUGCUUAAUCAGGUAUCGAAAUGUCAUCUUUUAAUAAA